AUGCGAUGAUGAGGGCAAAACUCAAGCAACUUCUCAAAAUGUUUCCAAUAUUCAUAAAGUGUCUCUCCAUCUUUUUGCAUAAUACAAGAAAUCUUUUUCCUCAAAU